UCCCCUGAGAAUUACCACUGUCCCAGGCAAUGGAAGCAAGUGGUGGGAAGUGAUUGUAUUUUAUUGGCUCAUUUGUAUAUCAAGGUGAAAUUUUUGGAGAAUGUUUUAAAUUCUCUGUGAUUUAAUACACAGAAUUUCCAUUCCAUUGUGUAAUGAACAUGGGAGCUAACCCAGAGCUCUACCACUAAGCUGGAUUGCUUUCAUGUUGUUUAUCCGCCGACAGCCAGGGCCAGGCGGCGAUGAUGAAGCCAGCUCAAGUCCUGCCCUUCCUUCGGUGUGGACAGUCCUAGAGUCAGUGUCAUCACCUGAAAGCAAAAUCAGAGAGAUUCCUUACAGCUGAUGAAGAGCCAGCUCUUCACCAAAUGAGCUCCAUAGUCUCCAAAGCCUCCAUUUUGAAGACUCAUCUGCCCAGGGAGCAAGGGUCUCCACUGGCUCCACACAGUGCAAUUAACCACCUCAGUUCAAAGUAAAUUCCUCAAACAAAUCUUUG
rnacentral:lncRNA from 1 species